GAUGAACGCUGGCGGCGUGCCUAAUACAUGCAAGUCGAACGAAACUUCUUUAUCACCGAGUGCUUGCACUCACCGAUAAAGAGUUGAGUGGCGAACGGGUGAGUAACACGUGGGCAACCUGCCCAAAAGAGGGGGAUAACACUUGGAAACAGGUGCUAAUACCGCAUAACCAUAGUUACCGCAUGGUAACUAUGUAAAAGGUGGCUAUGCUACCGCUUUUGGAUGGGCCCGCGGCGCAUUAGCUAGUUGGUGGGGUAAAGGCUUACCAAGGCAAUGAUGCGUAGCCGAACUGAGAGGUUGAUCGGCCACAUUGGGACUGAGACACGGCCCAA
rnacentral:rRNA from 1 species